rnacentral:tRNA from 1 species
AGGUCCGGCGCGGAUUUGAACCAGUGGCCUAAGGAUCACCGGUGAUUUAUCUAAAGUCCUCCGCUCUGCCAACUGAGCUAUCGAGGGAUCC